rnacentral:rRNA from 1 species
GGGGUGCAGCAGGCGCGAAAACUUCACAAUGCGCGAAAGCGCGAUGAGGGAAUCCCAAGUGUAUGCACGUUAGUGUAUACUGUUUCUUUGUCUAAAAAGCAGAGAGAGUAAGAGCUGGGUAAGACGGGUGCCAGCCGCCGCGGUAAUACCUGCAGCUCGAGUGGUGAUCGUUAUUAUUGGGCCUAAAACGUCCGUAGCCGGUCUUAUAAAUGCCUGGGUAAAUCGUAUGGCUUAACCAUACGAACUCCGGGUAGACUGUUUAACUUGGGACCGGGAGAGGCUAGAGGUACUCCUGGGGUAGAGGUGAAAUUCUGUAAUCCUAGGGGGACCACCAGUGGCGAAGGCGUCUAGCUAGAACGGGUCUGACGGUGAGGGACGAAGCCCUGGGGAGCAAACGGGAUUAGAUACCCCGGUAGUCCAGGGUGUAAACGCUGCUCGCUUGAUGUUAGUCGGGCUCCGAGCCCAACUAGUGUCGGAGAGAAGUUGUUAAGCAAGCUGCCUGGGAAGUACGGCCGCAAGACUGGAACUUAAAGGAAUUGGCGGGGGAGCAC